UAAGGAAUAUUGGUCAAUGGACGAAAGUCUGAACCAGCCAUGCCGCGUGAAGGAUGAAGGUCCUCCGGAUUGUAAACUUCUUUUAUAAGGGACGAAAAAGGGUUUUUGAACUCGUCUGACAGUACCUUAUGAAUAAGCACCGGCUAACUCCGUGCCAGCAGCCGCGGUAAUACGGAGGGUGCAAGCGUUAUCCGGAUUCACUGGGUUUAAAGGGUGCGUAGGCGGACAGGAAAGUCCGUGGUGAAAUCCUGCAGCUUAACUGCAGAACUGCCGUGGAUACUCUCUGUCUUGAAUAUCGUGGAGGUGAGCGGAAUAUGUCAUGUAGCGGUGAAAUGCAUAGAGAUGACAUAGAACACCGAUUGCGAAGGCAGCUCACUACGCGAAGAUUGACGCUGAGGCACGAAAGCGUGGGGAUCAAACAGGAUUAGAUACCCUGGUAGUCCACGCCCUAAACGAUGAUUACUCGACAUACGCGAUAUACAGUGUGUGU
rnacentral:rRNA from 1 species